AUUGAACGCUGGCGGCAGGCCUAACACAUGCAAGUCGAGCGGGAACUUCGGUUCUAGCGGCGGACGGGUGAGUAAUGCGUAGGAAGCUACCCGACAGAGGGGGAUACCAGUUGGAAACGACUGUUAAUACCGCAUAAUGUCUACGGACCAAAGUGUGGGACCUUCGGGCCACAUGCUGUCUGAUGCGCCUACGUGGGAUUAGCUAGUUGGUGAGGUAAUGGCUCACCAAGGCGACGAUCCCUAGCUGGUUUGAGAGGAUGAUCAGCCACACUGGAACUGAGACACGGUCCAGACUCCUACGGGAGGCAGCAGUGGGGAAUAUUGGACAAUGGGCGCAAGCCUGAUCCAGCCAUGCCGCGUGUGUGAAGAAGGCCUUCGGGUUGUAAAGCACUUUCAGUAGGGAGGAAGGAGUUGUCGUUAAUAGCUGCAACUUUUGACGUUACCUACAGAAGAAGCACCGGCUAACUCUGUGCCAGCCGCCGCCGUAAUAC
rnacentral:rRNA from 1 species